rnacentral:rRNA from 1 species
AUUGAACGCUGGCGGCAUGCUUUACACAUGCAAGUCGAACGAGUGGCGGACGGGUGAGUAACGCAUCGGAACGUACCGAGUAGAGGGGGAUAACUGCUCGAAACGAUAGCUAAUACCGCAUAUUAUUCGAGGGGCCGAUGUUGGAUUAGCUGGUUGGUGGGGUAAAGGCCCACCAAGGCGACGAUCAGUAGCUGGUCUGAGAGGAUGAUCCGCCACACUGGAACUGAGACACGGCCCAGACUCCUACGGGAGGCAGCAGUGGGGAAUUUUGGACAAUGGGCGCAAGCCUGAUGCAGCCAUGCCGCGUGUAUGAAGAAGGCCUUCGGGUUGUAAAGGACUUUUGUCAGGGAGGCGGUACCCGAAGAAUAAGCACCGGCUAACUACGUGCCAGCAGCCGCGGUAAUUC